CCUACGGGAGGCAGCAGUGAGGAAUAUUGGUCAAUGGGCGCGAGCCUGAACCAGCCAAGUAGCGUGAAGGAUGACUGCCCUACGGGUUGUAAACUUCUUUUAUAAAGGAAUAAAGUGAGGCACGUGUGCCCUUUUGUAUGUACCUUAUGAAUAAGGAUCGGCUAACUCCGUGCCAGCAGCCGCGGUAAUACGGAGGAUCCGAGCGUUAUCCGGAUUUAUUGGGUUUAAAGGGAGCGUAGAUGGGUUGUUAAGUCAGUUGUGAAAGUUUGCGGCUCAACCGUAAAAUUGCAGUUGAUACUGGCAGUCUUGAGUACAGGUGAGGUAGGCGGAAUGCGUGGUGUAGCGGUGAAAUGCUUAGAUAUCACGAAGAACUCCGAUUGCGAAGGCAGCUCGCUGGACUGCAACUGACGCUGAGGCUCGAAAGUGUGGGUAUCAAACAGGAUUAGAUACCCUGGUAGUC
rnacentral:rRNA from 1 species